rnacentral:rRNA from 1 species
GGUCCCGUAUGGAAGGGCCGUCGCUCAACGGAUAAAAGGUACGCCGGGGAUAACAGGCUAAUAGGGCCCAAGAGCUCAUAUCGACGGCCCUGUUUGGCACCUCGAUGUCGGCUCAUCUCAUCCUGGGGCUGUAGCAGGUCCCAAGGGUUGGGCUGUUCGCCCAUUAAAGAGGUACGUGAGCUGGGUUUAGAACGUCGCGAGACAGUUCGGUCUCUAUCCGCGGUAGGCGUAGGAAAUUUGAGAGGGCCUGUCCCUAGUACGAAAGGACCGGGAUGGACAAACCUCUAGUGUACCUGUUGUCCCGCCAGGGGCAUCGCAGGGUAGCUACGUUUGGUUGAGAUAACCGCUGAAAGCAUAUAAGCGGGAAACUCGCCUCAAGACUAGAUUUCCCUUCUCUUCGGAGACUGUAGGGCCCUCGUAGACUACGAGGUCGAUAGGCUGGAUGUGUAAGCACAGAGAUGUGUUCAGCUGACCAGUACUAAUAGCCCGUGAGGCUUGAUCUU